GUCGACGAUGAAGCCCUUCGGGGUGGAUUAGUGGCGAACGGGUGAGUAACACGUGGGCAAUCUGCCCUUCACUCUGGGACAAGCCCUGGAAACGGGGUCUAAUACCGGAUAACACCGGCUUCCGCAUGGGGGCUGGUUGAAAGCUCCGGCGGUGAAGGAUGAGCCCGCGGCCUAUCAGCUUGUUGGUGGGGUAAUGGCCUACCAAGGCGACGACGGGUAGCCGGCCUGAGAGGGCGACCGGCCACACUGGGACUGAGACACGGCCCAGACUCCUACGGGAGGCAGCAGUGGGGAAUAUUGCACAAUGGGCGAAAGCCUGAUGCAGCGACGCCGCGUGAGGGAUGACGGCCUUCGGGUUGUAAACCUCUUUCAGCAGGGAAGAAGCGAAAGUGACGGUACCUGCAGAAGAAGCGCCGGCUAACUACGUGCCAGCAGCCGCGGUAAUACGUAGGGCGCAAGCGUUGUCCGGAAUUAUUGGGCGUAAAGAGCUCGUAGGCGGCUUGUCACGUCGGGUGUGAAAGCCCGGGGCUUAACCCCGGGUCUGCAUCCGAUACGGGCAGGCUAGAGUGUGGUAGGGGAGAUCGGAAUUCCUGGUGUAGCGGUGAAAUGCGCAGAUAUCAGGAGGAACACCGGUGGCGAAGGCGGAUCUCUGGGCCAUUACUGACGCUGAGGAGCGAAAGCGUGGGGAGCGAACAGGAUUAGAUACCCUGGUAGUCCACGCCGUAAACGUUGGGAACUAGGUGUUGGCGACAUUCCACGUCGUCGGUGCCGCAGCUAACGCAUUAAGUUCCCCGCCUGGGGAGUACGGCCG
rnacentral:rRNA from 1 species